rnacentral:rRNA from 1 species
GGGGGGGGGGGGGGGGGGGGGGGGGGGGGGGGGGGGGGGGGGGGGGAGGGGGGGGGCGGGUGGGUGGAGCGGGGGAGGGGUGGGUAAUGGCUAGGAGUGGGCGGGGGAGUGGGGGAGAACGGGCGGGAGCGGGCGCGAAUACCGCAGCCGUCGUGAGGGAGAAAGUGGGGGAGCGUCGGAACGCGCGCUAGCAGAUGAGCCUAGAUCGGAUUAGCUAGUUGGUGGGGUAAAGGCCUACCAAGGCGACGGUCCGUAACUGGUCUGAGAGGAUGAUCAGUCACACUGGAACUGAGACACGGUCCAGACUCCUACGGGAGGCAGCAGUGGGGAAUAUUGGACAAUGGGCGAAAGCCUGAUCCAGCCAUGCCGCGUGUGUGAAGAAGGUCUUCGGAUUGUAAAGCACUUUAAGUUGGGAGGAAGGGCAGUAAGUUAAUACCUUGCUGUUUUGACGUUACCAACAGAAUAAGCACCGGCUAACUUCGUG